GACGAACGCUGGCGGCGUGCUUAACACAUGCAAGUCGAAGGCUGAAGCUCAGCUUUUGUUGGGUGGAUGAGUGGCGAACGGGUGAGUAACACGUGAGUAACCUGCCCCCUUCUUUGGGAUAACGCCCGGAAACGGGUGCUAAUACUGGAUAUUCACUGGUCUUCGCAUGGGGGUUGGUGGAAAGGGUUUUUCUGGUGGGGGAUGGGCUCGCGGCCUAUCAGCUUGUUGGUGGGGUGAUGGCCUACCAAGGCUUUGACGGGUAGCCGGCCUGAGAGGGUGACCGGUCACAUUGGGACUGAGAUACGGCCCAGACUCCUACGGGAGGCAGCAGUGGGGAAUAUUGCACAAUGGGCGCAAGCCUGAUGCAGCGGCGCCGCGUGAGGGAUGGAGGCCUUCGGGUUGUGAACCUCUUUCGCUCAUGGUCAAGCCGCAACAAUGGUUGUGGUGAGGGUAGUGGGUAAAGAAGCGCCGGCUAACUACGUG
rnacentral:rRNA from 1 species